rnacentral:ncRNA from 1 species
AAAAAAAAUUUUUAUAGUUUAUAAUUUUUAUUUUAAAUUUAUUUUACAUACAAAUUUUAGUGUUAAUUUAUAAUUAUUUUAAUAAUAAUAAAUAUUAAUGUAGUAAUUAAUUUUAAAUUAUUUAAGAAAUUAAGAUUUAGUAAUAUAGAAAUUAAAAACUAAUUUUGUGCCAGCAGUUGCGGUUAAACAAAAUUUAAAUUAAAAAAUUUUAGUAAUUUAAUAUAUGUAUGUGUAUUUAAAAUAAAUAUUGAAUUAUUAGGUGAAAUUUUAAUUUAAUAAAAUUUUAUAUGAUUUAUAUGAAUUAAUAAAUUUAAUAAAAAACUAGGAUUAGAUACCCUAUUAUUAAAAUUUAAUUUUAAAAACUAAAAUAGUAAAUAAUUAUUUAUUGAAAUUUAAUUGAUUUGGCGGUAUUUUAGUUCAUUUAGAGGAAUCUGUUUAAUAAUUGAUAAUCCACGAAUAAAUUUACUUAAUUUAUAAUUUUAUAUAUCGUUGUUAAAAAAAUAUUUUUUAAUAGAAAUAAUAUUUAAAUUUUUAUAGUUAAAAGUUAAUUCAGAUCAAGAUGUAGAUAAUAAUUAAGAGUAUAAUGGAUUACAAUAAAUUUAUUUAGAUGAAUUUUUUUUUUGUAAAAGUUAAAUGAAGGUGGAUUUAAAUGUAAUUUUAUUUAAUUUAAUAAAAUGAUUAAAAAUUAAAAUAUGUACAUAUUGCCCGUCGCUUUCAUUUAAAAGUUGAAAUAAGUCGUAACAAAGUAGAGGUACUGGAAAGUGUUUCUAGAAUAAU